rnacentral:misc_RNA from 1 species
GGUAUCGAUUUUCCUACCAAGAAAGCCACCGGAAGGUUUAGCAAUGGCAAGAACGCCGCAGAUUUUCUUGGUCAGCGUUAGCUACUAAGCUUCCUGCAGCUGUUUCUUUCUUUCUUUCUUUCUUACCUCUAAAAAGCCUCAUAAUGCUCCAAAUCAUCCCCACCUUUUUUAGGCCAUUUUUCUCAUUAUUUGAUCUCUCAUUUCUUCAACUUUUGUUUAUUUUUGAUAAUAUUAUGGCUAAAAAUUCCAACUGGUAAACCUUGCAUAUGUGUUUGAGUUGCGUGUCUAAUUAGAACAUAUGUGA